rnacentral:lncRNA from 1 species
CUUCACAGUGCACACGAGCUGUUCGAUCUGGGACUGAGUGACUAGCCGAUUGAUUCUUGGUGCUGUUCCUAUCUGGAACAUGCCGUGGCACUGUCGAAGCGGCGGCCCGUGAUGUGAUCAUGACAUGAGAUGCGCCCACACAAAUGGAGGGACGGGCUACGCGACGUCUUGGUGGUGGGGAGGGUUUCUGCUUCUGUUUCUGUUGUGCGUGAUAAGAUCAGAGCCUCUUUUCUGCAUCUCGUGGAGUGACAACUGCGGUGACAAUUAUCGGUGCCAAGCUGAAAGGAUACACUCGAUCGCCAGCCGGACAAAGCACGGAACCCGCCACCCUGAGGCCUCAGCGCGAUCCGAUGGCUACAACUCAGGGCAUCUCCAACAAGACGUGCGAUAUUACCGUAGUGCUAGAUAAAUUACAAAUUUUACACGCGCGUAACGGUUCCGGACGCUCCAGCAAAGACGUAAAAAAACGCGCGUGGCAUAAAUGGUUCAGCGCGCGAGGGCGAGACAUCAUUGCGUGCUGCUAAUUUCGUGCGUCCGCUUCCGCGCGCUGCACACUCAAGCGUUUGCGUCGCACUGUCGCCACCCUCUCCGGCCCCCUCAGCUUCGCCAAGUCCCGUGUUGCUGCCGGCGAAUUCGCCCAAUGGAUGGCCGCACCGACAUCCCCCUCCCCCCUUC